rnacentral:rRNA from 1 species
AUGGACCUCCGCCGCGCCAAGAGCGCCUGCGUGCUGCGGCUCUGCGUGUGCGACCCCAUGACCGGCGACGCCGACCUGCUCCCGCCCCUGACCGGCAAGGACCGCCCGGGGCCGUACGCGUGCGCCCUGCUCACCGCCGACGACGGGCUCCACCUGUACGACGCAUGCGCGGCCACGUCCACGUCCUCGUCCUCGUACCGCGUGCUGCUCCUCUACAACCACCGCAGCUACACGGCGCUCCGGCGCUACUCCUCGGAGGACGGCAGCUGGGGCCCGGAGGUGGAGGUGACCGGCGCCCGGAUCGCGAGGGGGCGGCAGCUGGGCGUCAGGGCGCACGCGACGCUGGUGCGGGGCGGCGCCGUCUGCUGGUACGGGCUCGGCAUCGCCGUCAACCCGGCCACGCUGCACACGUCCAGCUUUGGCUACACCGUGCAGGCCUUCGAGUCGCCGCCGCGCCGCGCCAAGGCCUCCCUCGGCAGCGAGGUGGACCGGCUGCUGGGGCUGAUGCCGGACGGGAGGCUGUGCGUGCUGGAGUGCAAGGCCGACGCGGUGCGCGCCUACGUGGUCGUCUACGCCGACGCGGUGAGGAACGGCGGCGUGUCGGGGAGGAAGGAGUGGCGGUGGACGCUGAACACGGAGCUCAUGGGCCUGCAGGCGGUGAGGUUGAGGUGGUUCUGCGAGAAGAGCGGCGUGGCGCUCUUCACGGCGAGGAACAGGGGCGGCAGGACGCAGGUGUACGCGGUGGACGUGGAGACGAUGCGGGUGGGCAGGGUGGACUGGUCGGGGGACGGCGACGGGGACAUGGACGUGUGUGGGUACGAGAUGGACCGGGUGGCCAUGCUCGCCGAGCUCGACCGCUCCGCUGAGCUCCAUCCUGCUCCUCGGCAGCUCUGA